GCCACUUUGGAGUACUAAUAUCUUAUGCUAGAUUGGAUGAGUUCACUCUCUCUAAAAUAAAUUUCAAUUGAGUAAGAAAAUUCCCUCGGCUAUGUUAGAAAGCCAUGAAUUUUAUAAAUGUCUACAAUAUUGAAAAUUGUACUAGAAUGUUUGAUCUUCGGUAUUAAUGUUAACAUGCUUUAUGCUUACCAUUUUAGUCAAUUGAAGAGGAUUUUAUAUUUGUUAUUGGCGUCCAAUUUCGAAGCCUCAAUUUCAUGCUGCUGGGAACACUAGAAUAUUUACUUAUUGAUUUCAUAAAACAAUCUAAUACUUAACGAAGCAACGAUUUCCCAUCUCAUCAAUCAUAAAUAAACAUUGCUUUAGACCUUAUUAAUCUAAAACACGGCUUCAUCCUCCAACACUAAUAUAGUUUUAUUGUUUAAGUGCAACAUUAGAUCAUAGUAGUGAUCAAUAACUAAAAGAAACAAUGAUAUUUCCAUUAUCAAAAACAUUCGAGAAUAGAUACUAAUUUAUGGCUUAUCCAUUCUACUAUGCAGUCAUGUCCAGAACUGAAACUCAAAACAAAAUCGUAUUGUUUAUUAGUAAUUGUUUUAGAAUGCUUUCACAUUGUAUUAUUUGAUAAGCUCCAUCCAAACUUGAAUGUUGAAUUUUUGAUUUUUUAAUCAAUUUUAAUUGAAAAUUAAAUUGGGACAUUUUGCAAAUUAUGGAACGAUUUUUUCAACCGAAACGAAAGUCUAUUUCGAAACGAACUAUAUUUUCAUAAGUAUAUAAUUUCUAUGUUUUAGUACAUUUACAUAUAUAUUGAAUAAUUUUUAAUAUUAUUUAAUCAAAUUUUAAUAAACGAUCGGUCGCCAACCGAACCGGCUUUUACGAUCGUUGAUUGUCGAUGGUCAACGGUCAAAGUCAACCUUCGCCCUAGCUGAAUGUUAAUGCUAGAUUCACCCCUGGUCGAAAGCCUUCCAAGCUGUCUUCAAAUGUCUAACUUCAGUCAAUUGCAUGAUCAGUAUUAAUCUAAGUUGAGGUCAAAUAUAUAUUAGAAUAUUUACUUUAAGAGACUGAUUUAGUUCAUACAAUUCCCCUUGGUACAUAACCAGUAACGAAUAAUUUCUUCUUUUGAUGAAUGUGCGUCUUUAAGAUUUUUGAACAGACUUAUGGGAAUGAUACCCCAACGAGUCUCCCGAAGAAUUUACCCAGACUGAUUGGGAAAGAGGAGGUUCUAGAGUGCUCUUAUCUAGCUGAUGUCUUCUAGUAACAGUUGAAAUCUCCAAACUAGAGUUAUAUUAGUGAAACGGGCAGAACGAGAAUAAUGCAUUGAAGUGAAGAUCAAGAGCCGAGCAUUGGAUAUAAGUAGACCAACCCUUGUGGGAUCGACAAUCUUCAUAGUCAUUCACUUGCGGUUUGUAGCUAACAAGUUUGAUGUUUACUCUAACCUUUGGAAUCUAGAUUUCAUAGUUACUAUUAGGAGCAGGCUUUCAAUUAUAUUUAUUUCAAUUCAGGGUCUUAUAAAUGUAGCAAAAGUUAUUUGUAUUUUGAUCAGGAAAUAAAGAGAAUUUAUUUAUUUAUUUUAA